rnacentral:rRNA from 1 species
GGGUUGUGAGGUUAAGCGACUAAGCGUACACGGUGGAUGCCCUGGCAGUCAGAGGCGAUGAAGGGCGUGCUAAUCUGCGAUAAGCGCCGGUAAGGUGAUAUGAACCGUUAUAACCGGCGAUACCCGAAUGGGGAAACCCAGUGUGACUCGUCACACUAUCAUUAACUGAAUCCAUAGGUUAAUGAGGCGAACCGGGGGAACUGAAACAUCUAAGUACCCCGAGGAAAAGAAAUCAACCGAGAUUCCCCCAGUAGCGGCGAGCGAACGGGGAGGAGCCCAGAGCCUGAAUCAGCAUGUGUGUUAGUGGAAGCGUCUGGAAAGGCGCGCGAUACAGGGUGACAGCCCCGUACACAAAAGCGCAUGUGCUGUGAGCUCGAUGAGUAGGGCGGGACACGUGGUAUCCUGUCUGAAUAUGGGGGGACCAUCCUCCAAGGCUAAAUACUCCUGACUGACCGAUAGUGAACCAGUACCGUGAGGGAAAGGCGAAAAGAACCCCGGCGAGGGGAGUGAAAAAGAACCUGAAACCGUGUACGUACAAGCAGUGGGAGCACAGGUUUACCUGUGUGACUGCGUACCUUUUGUAUAAUGGGUCAGCGACUUAUAUUCUGUAGCAAGGUUAACCGUAUAGGGGAGCCGUAGGGAAACCGAGUCUUAACCGGGCGUUAAGUUGCAGGGUAUAGACCCGAAACCCGGUGAUCUAGCCAUGGGCAGGUUGAAGGUUGGGUAACACUAACUGGAGGACCGAACCGACUAAUGUUGAAAAAUUAGCGGAUGACCUGUGGCUGGGGGUGAAAGGCCAAUCAAACCGGGAGAUAGCUGGUUCUCCCCGAAAGCUAUUUAGGUAGCGCCUCGUGAAUUCAUCUCCGGGGGUAGAGCACUGUUUCGGCUAGGGGGCCAUCCCGGCUUACCAACCCGAUGCAAACUGCGAAUACCGGAGAAUGUUAUCACGGGAGACACACGGCGGGUGCUAACGUCCGUCGUGAAGAGGGAAACAACCCAGACCGCCAGCUAAGGUCCCAAAGUCAUGGUUAAGUGGGAAACGAUGUGGGAAGGCCCAGACAGCCAGGAUGUUGGCUUAGAAGCAGCCAUCAUUUAAAGAAAGCGUAAUAGCUCACUGGUCGAGUCGGCCUGCGCGGAAGAUGUAACGGGGCUAAACCAUGCACCGAAGCUGCGGCAGCGAACGUAUCACCCAAGACAACUUUACGGAGUUGACGAUUGACGGAGCGAAGCGACGUCAAAGCGUUCAUUAAAGUCGAGUUGGCUUAGGGAUACGUUCGUUGGGUAGGGGAGCGUUCUGUAAGCCUGUGAAGGUGUGUCGUGAGGCAUGCUGGAGGUAUCAGAAGUGCGAAUGCUGACAUAAGUAACGAUAAAGCGGGUGAAAAGCCCGCUCGCCGGAAGACCAAGGGUUCCUGUCCAACGUUAAUCGGGGCAGGGUGAGUCGACCCCUAAGGCGAGGCCGAAAGGCGUAGUCGAUGGGAAACGGGUUAAUAUUCCCGUACUUGGUGUUACUGCGAAGGGGGGACGGAGAAGGCUAUGUUGGCCGGGCGACGGUUGUCCCGGUUUAAGCGUGUAGGUGUGUGUUCCAGGUAAAUCCGGUUCACUUUAACACUGAGGCGUGACGACGAGGCACUACGGUGCUGAAGCAACAAAUGCCCUGCUUCCAGGAAAAGCCUCUAAGCAUCAGGUAACACGAAAUCGUACCCCAAACCGACACAGGUGGUCAGGUAGAGAAUACCAAGGCGCUUGAGAGAACUCGGGUGAAGGAACUAGGCAAAAUGGUGCCGUAACUUCGGGAGAAGGCACGCUGACACGUAGGUGAAGUGAUUUACUCAUGGAGCUGAAGUCAGUCGAAGAUACCAGCUGGCUGCAACUGUUUAUUAAAAACACAGCACUGUGCAAACACGAAAGUGGACGUAUACGGUGUGACGCCUGCCCGGUGCCGGAAGGUUAAUUGAUGGGGUCAGCGUAAGCGAAGCUCCUGAUCGAAGCCCCGGUAAACGGCGGCCGUAACUAUAACGGUCCUAAGGUAGCGAAAUUCCUUGUCGGGUAAGUUCCGACCUGCACGAAUGGCGUAAUGAUGGCCAGGCUGUCUCCACCCGAGACUCAGUGAAAUUGAACUCGCUGUGAAGAUGCAGUGUACCCGCGGCAAGACGGAAAGACCCCGUGAACCUUUACUAUAGCUUGACACUGAACAUUGAGCCUUGAUGUGUAGGAUAGGUGGGAGGCUUUGAAGUGUGGACGCCAGUCUGCAUGGAGCCGACCUUGAAAUACCACCCUUUAAUGUUUGAUGUUCUAACGUGGACCCGUAAUCCGGGUUGCGGACAGUGUCUGGUGGGUAGUUUGACUGGGGCGGUCUCCUCCUAAAGAGUAACGGAGGAGCACGAAGGUUGGCUAAUCCUGGUCGGACAUCAGGAGGUUAGUGCAAUGGCAUAAGCCAGCUUGACUGCGAGCGUGACGGCGCGAGCAGGUGCGAAAGCAGGUCAUAGUGAUCCGGUGGUUCUGAAUGGAAGGGCCAUCGCUCAACGGAUAAAAGGUACUCCGGGGAUAACAGGCUGAUACCGCCCAAGAGUUCAUAUCGACGGCGGUGUUUGGCACCUCGAUGUCGGCUCAUCACAUCCUGGGGCUGAAGUAGGUCCCAAGGGUAUGGCUGUUCGCCAUUUAAAGUGGUACGCGAGCUGGGUUUAGAACGUCGUGAGACAGUUCGGUCCCUAUCUGCCGUGGGCGCUGGAGAACUGAGGGGGGCUGCUCCUAGUACGAGAGGACCGGAGUGGACGCAUCACUGGUGUUCGGGUUGUCAUGCCAAUGGCACUGCCCGGUAGCUAAAUGCGGAAGAGAUAAGUGCUGAAAGCAUCUAAGCACGAAACUUGCCCCGAGAUGAGUUCUCCCUGAGACUUAGAGUCUCCUGAAGGAACGUUGAAGACGACGACGUUGAUAGGCCGGGUGUGUAAGCGCAGCGAUGCGUUGAGCUAACCGGUACUAAUGAACCGUGAGGCUUAACCUUACAACGCCGAAG